UUUUUUUUUUUUUUUUUUUUUUUUUUUGCUUUUUAGGGCUGCACUUGUGGCAUAUGCAAGUUCCCUGGCAAGGGGGUGAAUCACCACCGCAACGUGGCAUCCAAGCCAUGUCUGCAACCUACACCACAGCUCACAGCAAUGCUGGAUCCCCGACCCAAUGAGCGAGGCCAGGGAUCGAACCUACAUCCUUGUGGAUAAUAGUUGGAUUUGUUUCCACUGUGCCACAACAGGAACUCCUAUGUAAAUUCUUUUAGACAACAGUUAUAGGAGAGGUCAAAGUUCCUUCCUGAGCUUUGAUUUGUUUUCAGCUUCAAAUAAUCCUCAUGCCAAGGAGACACUUUGGGAUGGCAAGUUUUGCUCCCCUACAGGUACGUACAAAAAAAAUCUUAUUAGGUAACUGCUAUUUAUACUCUCAGUUUACAGCCAAGAAGUUUGGAAAAAAAGAGCUUCCCCAAUAUACACAGGUAAUGUGAGUGGCAAAGCCAAGAUUCACACUCCAGUGACGUGACUCCAGAGCCUUCUCUUAACUACUGUCCUACAUAGGCCUAGUCAGGUCUUUAGUCUAGUGGCUAGAUUGAACUUGCAUUAUGACAUUUUAAUGUAUCAGUUAGGGUUCUCCCAAGACCCAGAAGCAACAGACACAGAACUAUAAAGAGAUUUAUUAUGAGUGCUUGGCUCGUGCAAAUGAUGGAGAUGGAGAAGUCCCAAGAUAGGCCUGCCAACUGCAGGCUGGAGGCUCAGGAAGCCAGUGGAGUAUGCAGUUCCAGUCCAAAGCUGACAGCCUGAGAACCAGGGCAGCCAAUGGUGUGAGUACCAGUCUGAGUCUGAAGACCUGAGAACCAAAAGCACCAGUGUCUAAGGACAAAGAAGAUGGAUGUUCCAGCUACGGCAGAGAGCAAAUUGCCCUUCCUCUGCCUCUUUGUUCUACUCAGACACUUAAUAAAUUGGAUGAUAUCCACCUGCAUUGUGGAAGGGCCAUCUUCUUCACUCAAUCCACUGAUUCAAAUGCUAAUCUCUUCCUGAGAAACCCUAACAGAUGCAUCUAUAAAUAAUGUUUUUUGUUUGCUUUUCAGGGCCACACCUGCAGCAUGUGGAAGUUCCCAGGCUAGGGGUCGAACUGUAGCUACAGCUUCUGGCUUAAACCACAGCCACAGCAACACAGGAUAUGAGCCCUGUCUGUGACCUACACCAUAGCUCAUGGCAACUCUGAAUCCUUGACCCACUGAGUGAGGCCAGAGAUCGUACCCAAAUCCUCCUGGAUCCUAGUUGGGUUCAUUAACUGCUGAGCCAUGAAGGGAACUACCUAUAAAUAAUGUUUACCAGCUGGCUGGGCUGAUACCUCAGGGCAGUCAAGCUGAUACAUAAAAUUACCCAUCACAGCCAGGACUCUCAAAGUUCUUUGUAUGUAGAAGUCCACCUUCUGAGUCAAUAAGAAGACCCAUUUUUACAUCGGGAAAUUUGUGAGGGUGCAGUAGAAAAGGUGGUAAAAUAGAAAUAAGACCAAGGGAUUCUGUGUUCUAAUAUUUUGAAGGAGAAUAUCAGAAGACAGUACAAUAUAUGCUGACACAUACGUGAGGCACUUUGGAAGCUCUUUAUAAGGAAGAGACCAUCGCCUACCUUUGAGCACAGCUGUUAGAGUGCAGUAAAGAGUGCUUCUCUGAGAUGAGGCCAGACAUUGAGCCUUAACAAAACAAGGCUCCCAAGUCUAUCUACUUGGUAAUAAAUGGAGUAGGAAUAUGACAACCUACCAAUUUACUUUCUGGCAGUAAGUGUAGCCUGGGGUUGUAUUUGACAUUGGAAGUCCAAACCUUGGCAGGAACUUCUACAGUGCAGGAAUUUAGGGACAUGGGCAGGGGGUGAAAGGACAGGGAGCAUGUGAAAUUUCUUGGCCAUAAACAGGAACCUCUUGUGGUAUGGGAAUUGAAUCUUUUCUCCCUAUUAGAAUAGUUCUCAGGGGGCUUGCUUGAGUUAAAAGUAAAAUGAAUUCCUCACCCUGGAGACUAAAAUGUCCUUUAUAAUUCCUGGCUUUAGCUUGGAAUAACUAAUAAGGUUUGUUAUUAAUGUUCCUCUUUGCCUUACAAUAACUUCAACUGGCAGAAAUAGGAUGUUAGCUCCCCUAUUGAGGAGGCUUGGGGAAUGAAGGACAGGGAUCAAAGUGUGGGAAAGGCCUCGUCCCUCCCCCUGGACCAAGGUUGUCAUUUAAUUUCCAUCAGUGUUAUGGCUUUAGAGGAGGGUAUAGAAUCAAGAAAAAAGAAUGAGUAAGCUGGCAUUUGCAAAAUGACUUCCAGACCUAUUAAAACAUCAAAGCCAAAAUAUCCCCCCAGGAAUGAACUUCAGAUGACCAUUUAAGAGAAGAUAUACCAAAGAAUGUUUUAUUUCAUAUUCACAAAACCUAAGCUUCCCAUCUCCACAGUAUUCUAUGUUUUUAUGUGUUUUAACAGCUUUUAAUGUUUUCAAAUAAAAAGAGCAAAAACACGAGCAUGUGGCCUGCCUAUCUAUCUAUCUAAUAUAUAAAUACUGAAACACAAUUCUUAGUCAUUCAGUAUCACUCCAGUCUUGGAAUGCCUGUCGUGGCUCAGUGGUAAAGAACCUAACUCAUAUACAUGAGGGGGUGGGUUCCAUCCCUGGCCUCGCUCAGUGAGUAAAGGAUUCAUCACUGCUGUGAGCUGUGGUGCAGGUCACAGACACAGUUCAGAUCCCAAGUUGCUGUGACUGUGGCAUAGGCCAGUAGCUAGUUCCAAUUUGACCCCAAGACUAGGAACUUCCAUACGCCACAGGUGCGGCCCUAAAAAGAAAAAAAGAAAAACAACAACAACAACAAAAAAAAAAACCCAAAACUCAUUCCAGUCUUAUCCAGCACAGACUGGAUGAAAGUUGAAAUUGUCAUCCUAGUUAAAAUAGAGAGACUGCUUUUACUGGAUUGCUCUUUACAGAGAUUUUUUAUUGUCGCAAAAAUGUUUCCAACCACUGGAACACAAAAAGGUACACAGAUACGUAAAGC
rnacentral:lncRNA from 1 species